CCAGGCUGGUCUUGAACUCCCGAGCUCAGGCAAUCCACCCGCCUCGGCCUCCCAAAGUGCUAGGAUUACAAGUGUGAGCCACUGCGCCUGGUGAGGCUACAUUUUUGAAUGAUUCCCCCAACUAUCCAAAUACUAGGAUCCUCUCAUAACACACCCAUUAUGUUCUAGUUUAGACAUGGAUAAGCAUCAUUAAAUGCUUCCUUCCUAUCUGCCAGCUCUCAAUGAGGAGUAUGUCAGCGUUUUCCAUAUGGGUAUUGAAGGCAGUAUCCUGUCCCAGACAUACCAGGGAUGCAGAUUGGUGAGACGAGUAGAGGGGGAAGAGGGCUCUCUUAUAUCCGGAGUGUUCAUGGAGAGGAAGUGGUUUCAUUUCUGAGCUAUUAAGUAACAUUCUCUCCUGGAAUAAGGGACCCUUUUCCACUUCCUCAAAUAUUGUGUGCAUUGGAAGAUGGCCUUCAGGAUACAGAGUUAGGUGGGUGGAUGGUGAUUUUACAUCUGUUGAUCAGGGUCUAAGAAAAUAAUUCGGAUAAGCGCAGGAGGGUGGGCUGGACAACUUAUCCACGUGAUCCCCAGCAGGCACUUGGACAGCGAAAGUGUAGGUGUGCACAAAUUCACAUUUGAUUCAUUCAGAGUUUGGCUUUCAUUCUGGGUUCGGCAGUUGUGGCUGAGGGGGAGGAAGAGGAGGCCCAUAUCUCUGCUCCAAGGCUUCUUCCCCACAAACCUUCUUAUCCACAGGCAUGGAGCCAAGGUCGAGGGUGGAAGUCCACAACUGUCAAACACUAAUUUCACCUAAAGCCAAAGCAGCCCUACAGGGGACUGGGAAAGAGACCCGCUUCUCUCUCACCCCUUCUGCUAGAGGUGGUUUAUCCGUUACACCCAGGAACAUGAAGGGAAAUUGUGUAGGGAAUGGGCUUCAAUAUCUAAGAGUUCUGGUUCAAAUCCUGGCUGCCUGUUACUCUUCAGUAUUGCAAAGUGUAUUUAAAUCCUUUGAGGCUGUUUUCCCUGUAUGUAAAAUGGAGACUCACCGAGGUUUGUUUGUUUUUGCAAGGAUUGAAUGAGGUAGUAUAGGGGAUAGUGCUUGGCCUGAGCCCUCCAUCUCCUUCAAAUGUGUUUUCCUAGGUAGACGUAUCUUCUUAACAUCACUCAGAAAGGAAGAACCCACUCAGCAAUGGGUUCUUUUAUCUUCUAUUUAAUGCUAGUCAGUCUUUGCUGUUCAAUCUUAAUAACACAAUUAACAGUAGGGAUAACAAUAUCUUCUGGUGAUUCAGUCCCCAUCUCUUAAUUUUGAUUUCUAUGGGCAAAAGACCCUUUACCAAAAUCCCUAAAUCCCUCUUCCUAUUCAAAGAAAGACUGAGUUAGGAAGUUGAGCUUAGGCCAAGGCUUUGUAUAGCUCUGAGGAGACAGAUUUUGAAGGACCAUAAAGCUACUGAAGAUCCUUGUAGUAGAGCCUUUGGAAAGCAGUUUUGUUACCUGACUUUGCAGUAUUUUAGAUCCCUGGAACACCAGAUGCUUUCCUAUUUGAAGGUUUGCAGAAGUACACAGGCCUUUGCCAACAGAAAGCAGCCCCAAGGGUGGAGGGAGUGGAGCUACUCAUGAAUAAUGGAGAACCUAGCAACUUCAGAAUUUGGCUAUUGCGACUGAAAACAGUUCUGCCUGUCCACUGGGGAUUGGUAGAAGAUGAGCUAAGUCUCCUUUAAAAGGCUGCAGCCUUUUGUUGGCCAGGCGUGGUGGCUCACGCCUGUAAUUCUAGCACUUUUGGGAGGCCGAGGUGGGUGGAUCACCUGAGGUUGGGAGUUCGAGACCAACCUGACCAACAUGGAGAAACCCCAUCUCUACUAAAAAUACAAAAUUAGCUGGGCGUAGCUAGGGGUGUGUUUCAGGGGGGAUUGGGGCAAACCAGGCAGGCGAGGACCCAGGCCUGUGCCGCUGUUUGCCUAUCCCUCAUCCCUCGGCACCAAGGCUACUCGAGCCCCAGAGUGUUUUUUCCUUGUUCCCGCCGCCUCCUAGUCCCUGGCCCAACAUGAUACUGACCAAAGCUCAGUACAAGGAGAUAGCCCAGUGCCUAGUGUCUGUGCCGCCCACCAGGCAGAGCCUGAGGAAGCUGAAGCAGAGUUUCCCAGUCAAUCGCGGGCCACUCUGCUGAGCAUCUUCUCCCAGGAGUACCAGAAACACAUUAAAAGAACACAUGCCAAACAUCAUACUUCAGAAGCAAUUGAAAGUUAUUACCAGAGGUACCUGAAUGGAGUGGUGAAAAAUGGAGCUGCCCCAGUGCUCCUGGACCUGGCCAAUGAAGUGGACUAUGCACCCUCAUUAAUGGCUCGGCUUAUCCUGGAGAGGUUUCUACAGGAACAUGAGGAAACUGCACCCUCCAAGUCUGUUAUAAAUAGUAUGCUACGGGACCCUUCUCAGAUUCCAGAUGGAGUUCUAGCAAAUCAGGUCUAUCAGUGCAUUGUGAACGACUGCUGUUAUGGACCACUGGUGGACUGCAUCAAGCAUGCCAUUGGUCAUGAGCAUGAAGUCCUGCUGAGAGACUUACUUCUAGAGAAAAACCUGCCCUUCCUUGGUGAAGAUCAGCUCCGUGCAAAGGGUUGUGACAAAACACCAGACUUUAUUUUACAAGUACCAGUUGCUGUAGAAGGGCACAUAAUUCACUGGAUUGAAAGCAAAGCCUCAUUUGGUGAUGAAUGUAGCCACCACGCCUACCUGCAUGACCAGUUCUGGAGCUACUGGAAUAGGAGCUGGACUGCAACCGGGAAAGGGGCAUCCUGCUCAAAGCCUGUUUCCCUACGAACAUUGUCACCUUAUGCCACAGCAUAGCUUGACCCUGAAGAUCCUGGAAGAGAAGCUGGGAGGAAAAGAGACCCAGCGUUGCAUUACCAUCAUGGAAUAAUCUAGCACAAACCUAGGAAAGCUGAAGCCACAAAGUCCGAAGCCACCUUUGCACUCACCUGCAGAGCUCCAGAAGACCUUGAUGGCAGCCCGCCAAUGCUGUGUGUUUGCUGUAUUCGAUCUUUACGGCUUCCUGACUUCUGUGACAGUAAGCCAAGCUGCAAAAAUACACUUGAUGAGAAUUUCCUCUUUUAAUAAUGUCUUUUGAACACCAAAUAUUUUAGAUUUAUAUUAUUUGAAAGUAUUAGUUCCAUUGUGCCUGGAAACCACACUCCUUUAGAUUGGGGGCCGAGAGGAGACGACCCAACAUUGAGGACAGUUUAUUUUUAAACAUGGCUAGUUGUCAGUAUGUACGUGAGCUAGUAUUUUUAUGAGUAGAGUUUUUUAAAGGCACAUUCUGUAUACUGCUUAGUAUAUGCAUUUUAUACCAUGUAAUUAUAUAGCACUCAAAUAAGUUCAGCAUUAGAAAUGUUUAGCUGGCCGGGCGCGGUGGCUCAAGCCUGUAAUCCCAGCACUUUGGGAGGCCGAGACGGGCGGAUCACGAGGUCAGGAG